UAGGGAAUAUUGCACAAUGGGCGAAAGCAUGAUGCAGCAACGCCGCGUGCGCGAUGAAGGCCUUCGGGUCGUAAAGCGCUUUUCGGGGAGAUGAGGAAGGACAGUAUCCCCGGAAUAAGUCUCGGCUAACUACGUGCCAGCAGCCGCGGUAACACGUAGGAGGCAAGCGUUAUCCGAAUUUACUGGGCGUAAAGCGCGUGCAGGCGGUUCGGUAAGUUGGAUGUGAAAUCUCCUGGCUCAACUGGGAGAGGUCGUUCAAUACUGUCGGACUAGAGGAUGGUAGAGGGAGGUGGAAUUCCCGGUGUAGUGGUGAAAUGCGUAGAUAUCGGGAGGAACACCAGUGGCGAAAGCGGCCUCCUGGACCAUUCCUGACGCUCAGACGCGAAAGCUAGGGUAGCGAACGG
rnacentral:rRNA from 1 species